rnacentral:rRNA from 1 species
AGUCGAACGAUGAAGCCCUUCGGGGUGGAUUAGUGGCGAACGGGUGAGUAACACGUGGGCAAUCUGCCCUUCACUCUGGGACAAGCCCUGGAAACGGGGUCUAAUACCGGAUAACACUUUCCACCGCAUGGUGGGGGGUUAAAAGCUCCGGCGGUGAAGGAUGAGCCCGCGGCCUAUCAGCUUGUUGGUGGGGUGAUGGCCUACCAAGGCGACGACGGGUAGCCGGCCUGAGAGGGCGACCGGCCACACUGGGACUGAGACACGGCCCAGACUCCUACGGGAGGCAGCAGUGGGGAAUAUUGCACAAUGGGCGAAAGCCUGAUGCAGCGACGCCGCGUGAGGGAUGACGGCCUUCGGGUUGUAAACCUCUUUCAGCAGGGAAGAAGCGAAAGUGACGGUACCUGCAGAAGAAGCGCCGGCUAACUACGUGCCAGCAGCCGCGGUAAUACGUAGGGCGCAAGCGUUGUCCGGAAUUAUUGGGCGUAAAGAGCUCGUAGGCGGCUUGUCACGUCGGAUGUGAAAGCCCGGGGCUUAACCCCGGGUCUGCAUUCGAUACGGGCUAGCUAGAGUGUGGUAGGGGAGAUCGGAAUUCCUGGUGUAGCGGUGAAAUGCGCAGAUAUCAGGAGGAACACCGGUGGCGAAGGCGGAUCUCUGGGCCAUUACUGACGCUGAGGAGCGAAAGCGUGGGGAGCGAACAGGAUUAGAUACCCUGGUAGUCCACGCCGUAAACGUUGGGAACUAGGUGUUGGCGACAUUCCACG